UCCGUCCGUCCAACCCCCUCCAGCCGGACGGAGCGGGACGGCCAGCGCCGGGCACAUCCGCAGGGCGGAGGCGCAGCCUCCCUGUGCAGCCCGUGGCGGUGCUCCGCUGGAUUUUGCUUUUUCUUUUUAAGACCGCGGCAUCGCAGUUUCUGUGCUCCAGUCGCUUUUGAUAAACUUCCCAGCGCCUUGUUGGGGGUUGGUUCCUCCUGCUUGCCUUUCCUGCCGCCUGUUCUGCUCGGGGGAGUGCCACAUCACACAAGGGCAGCUCUGCUCCUUUACUGGGGGAUUCUUCAGGCACAAAUGACUUAUUUCAUAGCUCAUAACAUCUGUAGGCUUCUUGGCCUACGUGUUCUACUGUCGGAAAUAAAGACCUUAUGUACCCGUUCCUCUCCCCGCCCCUUAGGCAGUUCUCUCCCCAGCACGGUCUGUUCAGGCUCCCAGAGCUGGCAGCCGGCUGGGAUGCAGGCCCCGGGCACUAAGGAGCUGCACACAGCAGUGCUGGGAAUAACACUGGCCCUGCUGUCUCCUGUCAACGUCCCUCCCGUGCCAGUCUUACUUGCAGACAUAAAGUUCUCAUUGUGUGGAGGUAAAUAAAACCUUCCCGGUACGACCUGAGCGAAGCAGGCACUGUGACAUCUGCACACAGCUCAUAAAGGCAGUGCGGGGAAGCGCUGGCUGCUUUAUUGCUCUUCCUGCCGCGCCAGCGUGUAAAUCUAAGCAUAAAAAUGUCGCUGCUGGUGCUGCUCGCUGCUGCGUGACUGGCGUGUGGGCGGUGCUGAGCUCUGCACCUAUUGCUGCGAUGCAAGUGUGCAGGAACGUGCUGCUUCCGAGGGCUGGCUGUAGGAUGAAGGGACUGUCCCGCAGCCCCAGGUCAUAGCGAGGCUCCCAUCUGCCUGCACUCUUCUGCCAACAUGUCCCGCCUUCUCUAAACAGUGCUUUGUAACAAAGGAGCCUGUUCAAUACCAAACCCUCUGUCGUGUCGCAAAUUCAUACUGUUGAGCAAUCAAGCUGCUGAAUUCAGUGGCGGGAUGCGUGUGGCGAUGGGAGGCAGCCCUGAGCUCGGUGUCCAACAUUGCUCCGUACAAUACCGACCCCUCAGUUCAGCAGGCACUGCUGGAGGACCUCACGUUGGCUGAGCUGGGGCUGCCACCCGCAGAAAGCACAAUUCCAAGUGAUUUCCAAGGCCAGGUCCGUGGUGUUAACUGCCCUCCCAGCAGCUCUGCUCUCUUACACAUGCACGUGGCUUCGGUACUGCGCAUAUCUUGAAUGUAAAAGACACCUUUCCUACCAGUGAUGAAGCAAGUCUGACAGUGCCAGGGCCAGAUAGAGAUCUUUUUUCCUCUGCGUCUUGCUCACGCUUUUCAAGCUGUCUUCUCCAAACUAAGCCCAGAAAUUAGAAAUGGAAAAAAGAAGCCCCAGCCCUCAGUCACAUCCUGGCUGUUCCUGCAGCACGGGGAAGAUUGCUUUGUCCCGCAUGAGUUUGAAAUAUCCCAAUCAAUAAAGUGUUCAUUGCUUCUCUCGGGAGAUGAUUCUCCAGACUUAUAGUACAUGUAUGGCACGUCCGCAUGGGAAAAUUGACCAGAACAGCUAUCUCAGCUCUGACAAUAUAACUCCCCGAUGCUGACAGUGUUUUCCAAAAUAAAAGUGAUUUACUGUCCAAUAAUCACGCAGUUCUGUGAUAGCUGAGCUGGUCAAUCUCCGCAGGCAGAGCUCAUCUGCAGCAUGGCAAUGCUUUUGACAAGUGCUUUGAAUAGAGGCUUGCCUGGGUGGAAAGCUGUCUGGCAGCAUUUCUGUGCCGGAGCCCUGCCUGCCUGCCCGUGCUUCAGGGCAGAGGUGCUUCUGAGACGGCAGGGGAAGGUGCUAAUUAAUUGCUUAGGAGAGCAGGGGCCGUCGUGGCAGUGGGGGCCAGGCUCCCAGACAUAAGACAUCCACCUUAAAGCUGGGCCCAGGGCUGCGGAAUUCAGUGGGACUCCGAUGGCUGGGUAUCUCCCUCUGAAUAACACACGCUUUCCAUGCCUGCAGCUGCCUGCCUACUUCAAGAUUUCGCCCUCUGGCUCCUGUUACAGUUUGCUGAGGUUUCCUCAAGCUAGCGCUUACAGGAGGCCACAGUUACAUUUUAACCUAGGUUUUCAGAAGUUAAAUAUAUUUAGCUUCCUUAUAGAGUACCUUAACUAUGCUAUAGCAGCAGCAGCAGUUGACUUCCUUAUGUGCACAUGACAGCUCUGUCUUCACACCCUGCUGUAUAUUGUGUUACAGCAAGACAGGUGUUACCACCACGAAAACACUCUCCUUCCCCCAUCAGUUACGUGGCCUACUUAUAAGGAAGCAUUUCAGCUGAUAACGUACAGCCCAGCCGAUAAGCCGGCAAGGAGCGCUGGGAUGAGGCAUCAGGAGCUGCGUUUUGGGGCUCUGCUGGAGCCGAGUGGCACGAGUGACACUAGAGGGCAGCGCUGGCACACGGUUGGAGCCUUCACUGGCUAAAGCUGAGUGCUUCGGAAUGGCAGCGUUAAUUGCUAUUAAAAACACACAUUGAUAACUCUCUCACCUGCUUUAAAUCCUGGAAAAUGAGAUUCCUCACCCAUCCCUUCCAGCCCUCGUGGCAGCUGGGGGUGUUUUAUAGCCCUGUUGGCGGUACCUGCUGUCUUCAUGGGAUUUUAUUUAUGGGAACCUCUAACAAUCUUCUUGGUGGCAUCCCCUAAACCCCAUUGUUUCGGUGCUGUUCCCCUUCUGGAGGCUCUCUCCGCACAAUCGUGCCAGUUAUCACCUGAAGCCACCGGGGCUGGGAGAUGAGCAGCCCUGAAACCCCAAACCACAGAGGCAGCAGUUUGUAUGCGCCUUCAGUUGUGUUUGCGUAGGUCUUACAGACAUUAUUUCUAUGGUUUAACCUUUAUUUUCAGAAGGUGGAGGCGAGCUAUAUAGAUGAAGAUCUUAAAAUAGCCAGCUUUUCCCUGCUGGACUGCUGCAGUUUUGCAACUCAUCAUAUACCAAAUGCUUUGAUGGAGCAUUUAAAAAUAUCCUAUGCCUUGGGACUGAGAAGCAACCCUGUUCUGUUGGGGGCCUCUUACCACUGCGUCACAGUGGAGCAGAGAAGAGCAGAGGGCCAGGAGCAGUGCCUGUGUGCAGGGCUCUCCCCUGCCAUGUCCCUGUCACUGGCUCUGCCCUCAGAGUGCUUCUGGGUCCUCAGACCUGCUGGAGACCAGUGCUGCUCUGGGAAUUGACCAAAUCUGUGUGCCUGUGUCCACCUGCCAGGGAGAAUUGAUAGAUAUCUCUGCCUCCUGACUCCCAGCUGGGCCUGCUAAUUUAUAGAUUGGAUCUGUCGCUCCUGAUAAACGAUAUCUUACUUCCCUAAUGCCGCCUUCAAAUUGAGUUUUUACGGCUAGGUCAGAUAGGGAAACCGAAGGGUGACUCUGCUUUCUCUUUGCUUUGGCUUCAUCCUCUGUAUUUGGGAUGAGGUCAGCUUUUCAGGCAGAGCCUCGAGCCAUGUGAUGCCAACCCGGGAGGCUGCCAGAGCACCCAGCUUGCACAGAGCGUAGGGCUGCACCAGGAGCUCCCAGCUUUCCUCCUGCCACACCUGAAGCCAGCAGCCCCCCUGGCUCUCUCCAUGGAAGAGCAGCAAUUCCCUGUGCUAGGUCAGCUCUGCCGAGCAUUAAUCCCUCCCAGGGACGCGCCUGAAUCAGCACAAGCACAGCCUCGCUGAGCAUCCUUCUCCAGCGGCAGAGAGGAGUGUUUUCUGGAGCACCGCCAGCGGCUCAGACCUGUGUGUAUGUGAGCAGCUUUGUUCUCCCUCCAGGGAGCUGCCUAACAAAGUUAAGAGCUGGCCAAACACCCAGGAUUAAGCAUAUCAUUGCUGAGUCCUCUGGAGGUUAGGGUAGUUAAAGGCACACGCAUGCAGACCUGUUUAGCUCGUCAUCAUUGAGCCCUGGCUCUUUUCUUGUUCCCCAAGAAAGGAACUUGCUGAAGCCACUUUUCUUUUGCACACUGAGUUGCACUGCAAUAGCCCAAAUCGGACCAGUGAAUACCUCCCGAAGAUGACGAGUUCUAACUCUGAAACCCAACGAUAUGUUGCCCUGACCACAGCCCAGUCCUUUCCCAUCUUGCAGAAAUCACAGCAGCCAGAAUUUCUCCACACAGCCAACACGGCUGAUUGAGAUAGCAACCCCCGCAGCACGUCAGAAACUGAAAACGAUGGAGCUGGGAACAAUAAACCAAAUUUGAACUUCUUAUUCUUCCAAUUAAAGAAACGCAGAAGAGAGCUGUGAUGUGAUCCAGAUUUGAUUCAAUCCAAGCUUCCCCUUUUCAAGGUUUGUUUUUCCCCACAGCCCCUGCAGACUCUCCCGUCCGUUGCAGUGCAAGCUGCAGAACAAACCUUGUUGCCGAAUUUAGGUCAAGCUUGCCAGCGAACACAUGGGGCCUUGGCUGUUACGGUUAGCAUGGAGACCACGCUGCCAAUGCUAGCGGGAGUGUUUUGGAGGCAGUGGAUGGAGCUGGGCGAGGAGCCCACACCGCUCAGCAGUCUGCCCCAGCACGAGCCGAGGGACAGACGACAGUCCUGCAGGUGCUGAACACCCUUCCUGAACCAAAGCAAUGGCUGUGAUCUUGCUGUGGUUGUCGACACUGCAGGCUAUGGGCAGCGAGUGGUGCGUGGAGCAGGCUGCGUCCUGCCAACAUCCCACUGCAGGCUCUAGGUCUCAUCUCCAGCUCUCUGCCUGGGAUGUAGGGAAGGCAUCACCCGAGACACCCAGCAUCAUCACCCUGAUGCACCCAUGGGACUGUUCUGUGCUGCUGCCUCAUAUCUAGAGAAACAACACACCUCAUGCCUAAGCACUUGCAAUGCUUCAGCCUGCGCCCCUUUGGUCACACAGUGUUCUGCAUGCACUUCAGCCAGGCCCCCAAAUGCACUCUGCCUUUCUGCUUGUCCUUUCCAGUUCAUCUCCCAGCAGUUAUACUGUGAGAGGCCAAGCUCUGCUGCAACGCUGCAACACGAGGGCUGUGGUUGUGGCCAAAAGCGUGCUCUCCAGUGCGCAGGUUGCAGGCUGUGGUGUGCUGGGCACAGACCCAGAGAACAAGAGGAGUAUUUAGGGGAGGAAGGCGGCACCCUGCAGCCCCUGAACCACACAGUGUCCUGACUGCCCUGCAGGGCCAGAUCCCAUCCCCUGCCGGGGGGUCCCAGGCCCCUGGAUCACCUCUCAGACACCCACAGAGGUGCUCCUUCUACGGAAACCUCCUCUAUUUAAAAAAAAAAAAUCAUUCUUUUAUCCCAGUCUUUGAAGAUGGUUGUUGCCAUGGAAACAUGCGUUAAAGCAUGCCUUUUCCCUUCAUCUCCAGAGCUGCCGUUGCCAUAACAGCCACAUUCCACCCCUCCCUGCUCCCCCCCACGGGGUGUAGCAGGGUGAGCCCAUGGCCCAGCCCAUCCUUCCCUGGCACCAGGGUGGCCCCAAGACCCCAUGGGAGGUGACACUACUCCGUGCCCAUACAGCAGCGCAUGGCGCAGAGGGGACACAGGGAUGCACAGUGCCUGCCCAGCAGCUGCAGCAGAGCCAGGACUUAACUGGGAGCACAUUUCUGGCUGUAGUUGUCUCAAUUAAUGUAGCCCUGCUUGCUUUAGCAAUUACCUGGCCAUGGCUUUCGGCCCGCUUUCAGAUGGAGAUCUCCUGCCAGGAGUUGCAGCUGGUGAACACGAGCUGGGAGCAGGCAUGGAGGGCACCUUCAGCUGCCCUGCUCACGUCCUAAAUAGGCACCUCUCUGCCAGAGGGAGCAUCCCCCUCCCUGCAGAGGCAGCAGCCUUAGCAGGAGAGAAGGCUAUCAGCAGGAUGUUCCUGCCAGACACCCAUCAAUCUGCUGCAGCAGGGCCUGCCUCGGUCUGCAGGGCGGAAGGUACCAGUGCCGGAGCUGCCCGCUGCCCCUGCAGCACCUCCACCCAUGGCCACCUACCUAUGGCCCCAAGGGAGCUGCUGCCAGUCCUGGCUCCCCACAGAAAUGCUCAGUCAGGAAGCGAGGUCUGACAUGCCACACGCUUUGCCAAAUUCUUUGGGAUUUGCUGUGUCUUCUGGGAGUCCAUCAAAAGUCCUCUGCCCCCACCUCUUUCUUAUCACCAGCACCACUACCUUGGACCAGAUGUCCAGUGUGUGUACCACUGAAGCCAACGAGAUGACUUGGGUGCUGAUGACAUUAUCUCUGAAGUGCACUUUGGAAAGAAACCCAAGACAUAUGGGUGAGACCAUUGCUCUGCUCCUGUACUCGGGCUUGUACUUGGGGAGAGCACAAUGUGAACUCUGCCAACUGCUUAGCUGCUCAGCACUCAGCUGAACCCCUCAGUGAUGUGUAUAAGCAAGAUAACAACAGGCCUGUGUCCUAUUUAGUUCCUCUCCACCCACCACCAAGCCCGCAGGCAGUGCUUUGCCUCAGUGCCCACAGCCCUAGGGCAAGGUGACCCGGCUGCUCCUACCCUGCAGCUCCGGAAUGCGGUACCCAUGGCUGGCUGGGAGGACACGGUCAUCCCCUUUGGUGCAAGACUAAUCUCCAGGGCUCCAUGCUAUGCAGCCAGAGCUCCUGCCAAAGCUGAGAGCUGCUCAGUGCCACAUUGGAGAGCAUUUUGCGGCCACUCAUGCAGGAGCAAUGAAGCUGCCGUGGUGAACUGAUUCCUAAGGUUGUGUCCCUGGAGCCCAGAUGCAUGCUCAGCCACCUGCCGUGCGUACCUCUUCCAGCCAAGCCUGUGUUACAGAGGUGCUAACUAAACAAAUACCGCUCCAUUCUGAUGAGAAUCUACACGCAAACCUGUGAUGCUUUGCAGCAGGAUGCAUUAUAGCACUCAGCUCUGCUUGUGCCUCCUUGAACAUGCUGGGUGCAUAUCCAAUGGGAUGUCCCCAGGCCUUCAGCACUCACCACCCUCAUCCCCAGCCAGCAGUGCCCAGCGACACCCCAUUUUUACACGACACAGCAGGACCAUGACACUCAGCUCUGCCUUUAAGUAUGGAACUCAUCAGUUGAAUAAGCUUUAAUUUGGAUGGUGAUUAACGGAAACACGUAUAAACUCGGGAUCUGCGCUGCAUUCCAUUGGCCUGCCUCACCUGUCCUAGAUACAGGACAAAAGGCUCUCUCACAUGCGCUGCUCUCCAAAAGCCACACCAUUCAUUAAGGGCAGCGUUCGGCACAGCGGAUGAGUUGGGCUCGCUGUCUGCCUCUGCAUCCUGGAGGAUUUUCAGAACGACAGACCUCAGUCUCUCAGAUGUCACCGCCAGGACGAGAGCAGCCACCAGCCUUUCUGUGCUUCAGCUUCGCAGCUUCUCACAUUUGACCGAGCUCAUCCCUGACAGCAUUUUCUCUGCACUUAGAGAGCCCAUUACUGCUGCCAAAAUCUAUUUUGUAUUUCAUUUCAGGUCUCAGAUGCUUCCUGAGCUGCUAGCCUAGCAUUAACUUCUGAGCAACAAGCAUGCAUUGUGUGAGCAUUGAUACGCGCAUGGCUUUAAUAUCCUACAGAAAAUCCAUGCCUCGAGUUGGCGUUUUGAAUCAAAAGAGUUAAUUUCUAAGAGAAAUGCAGCCCUAAAGAACAUUCAACCAGCAGCAUUAUUUAGUUACAUCCUGUUUCUGGGGCUUGGGCACCGGCAGAAAUCUGAGCUCAAGGAAAAGCAGAGCCCUCCCAUGCUCAGCCCCAAAGGGGGCUGGGGUCUGACGGCACCAAACCGCACUCCCUUCUGCACCCAGAGGUCAGCUUUCCCUGCCACCAAGCCCUCCAAAAGUCCUAAAGAGACAUCAAUCAAGUUGGUAAGAAAGCAAACAGAAAGCCAUGCUGUAGAUUACGUGCACGAGGAGCCCACCAUGUGCUGAGCCAGGUGGGAAUGGGGUGGUUCUGCUCUGCACCUUUGGUGUGCAGUGCAUCCAUGUGGAAUUCGCUGCCUUGCCCCCCUGUUCCUCUCCUCUCCAAACUGCAGGUCAGCGUUUUACAGCCUGAGGUCAAUGCAUCCUGAGGGUGCUGUGAGCUAUUUCUCAGCCUAACUAAGAAAAGCGAGCCUCUUGUCAGCAGCCUUACAGCCAGCGUGCGGGAAUUUGUGGCUCCACGGGAGUGAUUUUAGGAGGUAUGCAACUGGGACUGCUUACAAAGCUCAAGAUGAGAUGGAUGUGCUCACCCAGGAGAGUUUUACAGCCUCCACACUCAAACUCCCCUUUAUUCCCCGGCCGUUGCACAGAAUUAAUUACAUUUCUGCAUGCUAGCACGGACCUAUCGCAGCAGAACUGCCAUCUAACCAACCAACCGCUGCCCCUGAGCCCCUCAUCAGCAGGAGGGAUCCCACACCGUGCCACCAGGUGCCAGGGGGAGUCAGGAUCAGCUGUGUUUGCAGCAAGCACCCCGUCCUCCCUGCUCCCUGCAGCAGCGUGAGCAGGGACUUCAUCACCGUGCAUGGCCUUCCCGUCCCAUCCCAGGUCUCUGCGUGCCACUAAAUCAUCCAGUUUGGAACAAAUUCACUGGGAAGAACUAUAGCGAGUCAAGCAGAGGUCUGGGACACGGGAACAAUGGCCCAUAAAGCAAACACGCAGCAGUGCGCUCAGCUGCCGGGGAUGCUGCUGGCACAUGUGGUGGGGAAGAUUAAUAUGCACCAAGCGAGCAGGAGCUGGGAGGGAAGCUCACAAGGUGCCUCUCAUUAGCUCAUCCUUCCAGCGGAAUUAACGACUGCCAGGUUUCGCCCAGCCCUCUGCUAUGGGUUAGUGAGAAUGGAGUGCCGUGUGCGACGGGGGGUUCGGCUCCCUUGGGACCCUCUGCAGGGAGGGUCAGCUCCCAAAGUCUGGGAGCGGGCAUGCCUGGGUGCCACAGGGCUGUGCUGCACAAAGGGCCAAGACCUCAGGGCUCCCCAGAGGCAGGCAGCUCCACCCGCCCCACCUGCUGGCACCAGGGCUGGGUGCUCAGCAUCCCGCAACCUCAUCACCUGCUGCUAUUCCCUCCAUGGACGAGCCGCCGUGCUCCUGUACCCUUCUCUCUGCUAUUUCCCUCCUGCUGCCUCUCCCCCACCUCCUCCUCCUCCUCUACUCUUCAACUCAAGAGCCAAAAUGAAAACACCUUCCCCAACAGUCACUGACAACAGCAGGAGGGAAGGAGCUCCAUUCUCCUGAUUUGCAAAGGAAGAAAUACAGAGAAACAUCUUGAUAGCAUCGUCGCCAAAAAGCGGAUGCUGUGCCGCGCUCAGGCGUCUCAGGAGACCGGGGCUCCUCUCCUCUGACUGUUUGAAGCUGCUCAGUCUCUGGGGAUAUCAACAGCUCCGAAGCUGCUGCCACAGAGCGAGAGAAAUCAGACACAUUCUCUGUUGGGGAAGGCUUUCCUGCAGCAAUCAAAGGAUGCUGCACAGCGGCGGCGCGUGCUGGGUAUGGCCAAGGCAUGGGGAGACGGAGCACAUGGGAAUUGCUGGGGAAGAAUUCACUUCCACAGGGAAUGGUUUUCCUCCCUUCUCUGCCAGGGACUGUGGACUCUGAUGGGGAGCUCCUGACCCCCAUGUCGCUUGUGGGCCACCCUCCUGCCCAUGUUUGUCACAGCCCUGAAGCCUGCGGCACCUUUGGCUAGAGCUGAUGCUAGAGGUUCUCCACAGGGAUGCUACAGCCUGACACCGGUGCACACACCGUACUGCAUUUAUGGGUGAGAGCUUCAGGAGGUCACCCACACACAUCAGGAACUUGGCUUUAAGGGAUCUUCCCCCUCCCUGUGAUCUCAGUAGUGCUCCCUUACAGACACGUUACAGUUUCUGCUCUACCAACAGCUCCAGCAAACCCACUGAGUGCAUUCCCAUGGCAAGAGGUGUGUGGGGGGCAAAGCUGAGCACAGAACCAUGUAUAGACGCACCCCUUGCAUUCAAACCCUGUGUCCUGCAUGACCUGAACUACUCAUUCAGCUAUCACUACACGGGCAACAAUGCUCCAUGAACAAUGCACAGAGGUCUCCGCUCUUCCUCACUGCACCAGCUGCAAGACUCGCAGCACUGCUUUCUGACAGAUCCCUUUACAUUUCCUUAAGAUUCACUCAAAAGCUGCCAGAAGACCUCAGUUUUAAGCAAAACACAAUUCUCCACAGUGCUUUGAUCCUCCCAUCGCUUGGCUCUUUCUACAGCCCUAGAACGUCUCUCCCUUUGAAGCUACAGGCACUCGGCUCUCACCGGUUUGAGGCAGCACCUGGAGCCCUGUACAGACCCGAGAGGCCCACGAUGGCAGAGCUUGCUGCUGGGACAGGAUUUCCAUCACCUUGCUGGUGGAAAGGCCUGUUGGCACCUCUCUGCCCUGCUCACGGUGCCGCCAGCCCUUGCCCGUCCGAUGCCGGGGCUGUGGGAUGGCAGAGCUGAGCCCCCGCCAUGCUGCCCGCUGCCGCCACUAUUUCCCAGCCUCUCUGUUUUCCCAGCCCCGAUAUCACUUUCCCUGGUGUUGCCAUAACAACUGGCGUUAAGAGCUUGUUGACACUGCCCUGUUGCACUAAUUGCACAAUUUCCCGUCACUGUUAUAUGCCAGUUAUUUCCUUCCGAGGGCUGGAAUCGCCUUCGGCCACCUCGCCUGCUCCCUGCCCGCCGCCCUGGGACCAGUUAGGGAGCCGGAGCGAGGGAGCAAACAACCCCAAAAUGCCCUGGGGAGGUCAUUUAGCCCACUCAGUGCAGCUGAGACCACGUGGCUCCGGCACGAAGAGCUCAGGAUGGUUUGCCCGCACCAGUGCUCCCACUGCCGUGCUGUGCCUGCAACGGGAAGACGCAGGGAUGGGUGUGCAAGGCUGAGACAGAGCUCAUGGCCAGCCCCGCAUGCCCCAUCCUCAGGGAGCAGCUCUUGUCCCUCUGGGUCACAGCAGCACGAGGCCGAGCUCAGAGGUUUUGCUCCUUGCUCUGACGGGGAGGAAGCGAUGAGAAGGAUCGAUCGCAUCGACCUGGCAGACUUCUCAGUGAUGCCGGGGUCACCUUGAGACCCAACCCCCGGCUCUCCAGUCCCAGCCACAUUUCCACGUGGGCACCACAGGCAGCAGUGCCCCAUUGUGGAACCUUCUCCAGCCCUCUGACCCCGGGGUGGGGGGCACGUGGGGAGCUCCCCGCCGCCACCCAUCCCUCCUCCACCCACAGCACGGCUGCCCUGUUGUGUUCCUCAGCAAUUUAUCACCAAGACACUUACUUUAUAAAUAUUAAAUGAAGGGCUCCAUAAAUUUUUAACAUGGAAAUAAAACUGCAUUUGGUGAAGGAAAGGAAAAAAAACACACAAAGAAACCAACCGCUCUCCUCACCCCUUCCCAUUGCCUUCCUCCCUUCUCUUGGCCUUCCCCUGGGAUAAGCCAGCAUCGUGCUCGGACCCGGGGCUGCGAACGUAAGGCUGGUGCUCAGCAGGGGCACAGCACCGGGUGCUUGUCAGUGCAACCAUAAUAACACCGUGUUCUGAGCCCCACUCCACAAUACUGAUACGCUGAUACACAGUGAUACACAGGCAAUACUGAUACACUGCCUGUCCCCAACUCUCUUCUUCAGUACUUGCUUCAAGCCACGUCUUGGGUCCAAAGGACCACACGGGGGUCAUCCAUUGGGUCAUCUAUUGAAGCCAGGCAUGCUGCUGCCCCACUGUUCCCCUCGCUGCGUCCCAUCCCCGCCCCUGUGGCCAUGGAGGAGGCUGAGGAUGGUGUGGUCACCCAGCACCGCGGAUCCGGGGCCGGCCCCAGGAGCUGCAGAACCGUGCAUCCCUCGCUGCCAGCUCUCCGCAACCACAAGCAUGGAUGAAUCAUUAGGACAAGUGCUACUACAGCCUGAGCGCAAAUGAGGGAAGAUUGGGCCUUUGGCAGAUAACAGCUCUUUGCUCAAGUGUGCUGCUCUCCCGCACUCGCUGCUCAAGCAGCCGCACUGCCGCUCCCUGGGGCCAGCACGCGGCUCUGCAGCCUCCGAAUUGCCCGCAAGAGUUCAUCACUGCCAGGACAGCUCCAACAGCGAGGGGUGAUCUGGGGGCGAGGGGUGCCCCAUCGCAGCUCUCUGCUCCCGGAGGCCCCGCACCGUGCAGCGGGAGCAGCUCAGCACCGCUGCCGGGGGGCUGCGGGAUGCAGCAGCAGGAUGCAGCAGCAGGAUGCUCACAGCCCCAGCUGCCAACCCACGCGGCAGAGCCAAAGCAGGAGCUAAUAAAAGUGAUUUUAAGAAUAAUAACGGCAACACACGUUAUUAAAAUCCACGCUCAGCCAGGCGCCGGGCUUACCAAGCAUUUCCCCGGCUUCUGUCAGGUGGCGGGAUUGCCCCAGACACCGGGGCAGGGUGUAUGACAAAGGAGAGACAACGAUCAAUUUUUAAUAUUGCAUAUUUAAGCAGGCUCGGGCUCCAAUCCGUCAUAUCCCCCGGCUUUCCCUAAAAUUAAUCUCCAAUAGCUUAUCGAGAACUUCAGAAAAUUAAUAUCCAGCAUUUCACCUUAGGGGGAGCAGCACUUUCUCUGGAUGAAUAUGCAUGCAGGAGGGAGAGCGCGACGGAGCAUCUGCCCGCAGGACUUCAGCUUCAAAAGAGGAUUUCAGCCGAGCCCUUCCACACUCGAAGGACUGAGCGCUGCGGGGCCGGGACGGCGCAGACAGCCGCAGCCGCUCUCAGGCUGCGCUACACGUGCCUACAGGAGGCUUCAGCUCUGUACAAAGGGCCCCAAAUGAAUGAAUCUGCCCUUAACGCCAGGCCACGGGAGCAUGAAGAGGAACAGAACGGGUUGUUCCCCCGCUGUCUGAUGCCAGGGAGCCCGGCAUCUGCAUUCCCACUCCCAAGCCCAGCAGCCCUGACCCUGCGGCUGGGCAGGGCUCGUGGCACUGAGGCAUGGCAUGUUCACCAGUGAAUGCUUCUUUAUUGCAGGGCCCCGGAGCAGCUCCCCGGGAGGCAGCCCUGCUGCCAAACAGCUCUCAGGAGCCAAGAAAGGAACCAAAGCCCAAUUUCCCAUCCCCAGGAAGGAAUGGGGAGGAAAGAGGGACAGGCAGCUGCAGAGAACCAGAGAACGUCCUACACCGUGUCACCAGUUUCCCAUUAAAUGGGCCCUGUAGCAAUGGGAUUAAGGGGUCGGGAAGCACGGGGCCACAUCUGAGACUGGAUUACCAUCUGCACGAGAAUUAAAUAGGGAUUAUCUGCAGCCCAACAGGCACAGCUGGGGCCAGGUGGUGGGGCUGUCUGAUCCCCUCUCCCCAGCAGGACCUCCACGGCCACCAGGGCUGGCUUCAAUGCCCUUCAUGCCCCUGCAUCUCAUCCUGCGAUGGCAUCAGCCGGCAGUGGGAGCACGAUGCUGGAAGUGGUUCUAUCCCUCAGAAGGAGUAAUUAUGCAUCUCCAUAAAGAGAGCACUUAUCAUGAUGUGUUCAUCUUCCCUGACACCUCCCGUACAGUGCCCUGGCUGCAUUCUGCAAACACCAAUUAAUUAAGCCGUAUAACUUUGCUGGGAGCUGCGGUGGGAGAGCUGCUGCCUGCUGCCGGGGAGCGCUGCAGGGCCAACCACCCCAUGCAUCCCUAUAGGAACCGAGCGGGGAGCCCUGCAGGAGGCACACAGGAGGAGCCGCAAUGGGGGAACCAACGCCUGCAAGAGCACAUUGCAGCAGGUAAUGAGAAAUAAAGAAAUGAGCCCGAGAGGGCUGCUGGGGAGCAGAUGGCUGGAGGUGUAACAACAAAAGCCAAGAAGGAACCCUUCCCCCCCAAAACAAACAAAGCAAACGUUACGCCGACAAUAAAAACGAAGCCUCCAGGGGUAAUUUGGGGAAUUACAGAUCAGUAAAUUGCACAUCCGUGUGCACCAAAUUGAUUGGAAUGAUAAUUAAAACCAGAACAUCUCGUAAUACGGCCCAGUGUGCGCAUCUCAGAAGAAGCUCGUGUCUCACUCAGCUCCUGCGUUUCCUCGAACGCCGCAGCCCGGCGAUGGAUGAGGCACAACGAGGUGAGUAUUUGUUUAGGGAUCCUCUGACACAAAGCAGUGCUGGCAGCUGCUGUGGAGCAGGAGACCCUGGCUCUUCUUGCUUGGGAGGCCAGCGAGGAGCUGAGAGCAGGAGGGUAACAGGUUGGGCUUUGGGAUGGCGAGGGAUUAGCUGCGGUGAGUCUGGAUCUGCUCUCGGCUUCCACUGCUGAGUAGGUUAUUAGAGGCUAAGAUUGAGGAACAGGGGUAGGGGAUGGGAGCACAGCCUGGUUUAGGUGAUUCAUAACCACUGGAGAGAGCGAGGAGCUCUGGUGAUCCCUUGACACACUGCAAGGAUAGGAAACACACUGACAAAUUGCUUUAGUGCCAAUAAAAGCAGAGAAACGUGCUUUGCUGUGUGAAAUGCGUGGGCUUGGUGGACCUGGGAGGGCUCCUGCAUCGUACAAUCAUUAAAGUUGGAAAAGACCAUCUAGUCCAGCCACUGACCCAUCCCCACAGUGCCCGCUAACCACAUCCCUCAGUGCCACACUACACGUUUCUGGAACGCCUCCAGGGAUGGUCAUUCCACCACCUCCCCGGGCAGCC